rnacentral:rRNA from 1 species
CCUACGGGGGGCUGCAGUGGGGAAUAUUGCACAAUGGGCGCAAGCCUGAUGCAGCCAUGCCGCGUGUGUGAAGAAGGCCUUCGGGUUGUAAAGCACUUUCAGCGGGGAGGAAGGCGGUGAGGUUAAUAAUCUCAUCGAUUGACGUUACCCGCAGAAGAAGCACCGGCUAACUCCGUGCCAGCAGCCGCGGUAAUACGGAGGGUGCAAGCGUUAAUCGGAAUUACUGGGCGUAAAGCGCACGCAGGCGGUCUGUCAAGUCGGAUGUGAAAUCCCCGGGCUCAACCUGGGAACUGCAUUCGAAACUGGCAGGCUAGAGUCUUGUAGAGGGGGGUAGAAUUCAAGGUGGAGCGGUGAAAGGCGUAGAGAUCUGGAGGAAUACCGGUGGCGAAGGCGGCCCCCUGGACAAAGACUGACGCUCAGGUGCGAAAGCGUGGGGAGCAAACAGGAUUAGAUACCCGUGUAGUC